rnacentral:rRNA from 1 species
GACGAACGCUGGCGGCGUGCUUAACACAUGCAAGUCGAACGGAAAGGCCCUGCUUUUGUGGGGUGCUCGAGUGGCGAACGGGUGAGUAACACGUGAGUAACCUGCCCUUGACUUUGGGAUAACUUCAGGAAACUGGGGCUAAUACCGGAUAGGAGCUCCUGCUGCAUGGUGGGGGUUGGAAAGUUUCGGCGGUUGGGGAUGGACUCGCGGCUUAUCAGCUUGUUGGUGGGGUAGUGGCUUACCAAGGCUUUGACGGGUGGCCGGCCUGAGAGGGUGACCGGCCACAUGGGGACUGAGAUACGGCCCAGACUCCUACGGGAGGCAGCAGUGGGGAAUAUUGCACAAUGGGCGGAAGCCUGAUGCAGCAACGCCGCGUUCGGGAUGACGGCCUUCGGGUUGUAAACCGCUUUCGCCUGUGACGAAGCGUGAGUGACGGUAAUGGGUAAAGAAGCACCGGCUAACUACGUG